rnacentral:misc_RNA from 1 species
GUGAAUCAUCAAAUCUUUGAACGCAAAUUGCACUUUCUUCGGAGAGUAUGAGUGUUUGAGGGUCAGCCUAAAAAAAAUCGACAUAGUCGUUGUUUCGCGGUGUCAUUCGUCGGAAAUUGGGUCAUGUUAACCCUUUUGGUUUUAAGCGGCUUAAAAUUUUCUUUACGUUUCCACGAAUGUUUCUAAGAUUUACUUAGUCGUUGAUGGUAUCUAUCUUUAUUAGAUGUGGCCGU